rnacentral:rRNA from 1 species
UACGUAGGGUGCGAGCGUUAAUCGGAAUUACUGGGCGUAAAGCGUGCGCAGGCGGUUUGCUAAGACAGGUGUGAAAUCCCCGGGCUCAACCUGGGAACUGCGCUUGUGACUGGCAGGCUGGAGUACGGGCAGAGGGGGGUGGAAUUCCUGGUGUAGCAGUGGAAAUGCGUAGAUAUCGGGAGGAACAUCAGUGGCGAAGGCGACUGCCUGGCCCAACACUGACGCUGAGGUGCGAAAGCGUGGGUAGCAAACAGG